UUGGAUAGAAAAUAUUAAUCAUUGAUUAUUUAUGCAAUUCUUGUUUAAUUUUUAGUAAGAUAUGGAGAGAUUUUAAAAGAAAGUCUCUAUUUUCAAUUGAAGAAAACAGUGGGGGUAAAGAAAAUAAGUGUUGAGGUAGAUGAUAAUCAUGAUAUUCAAGAGAAUGAUGAUACAUAUAAAGCAAGUAUUGAAGAAAAUUGUGAAACAAAGAAAACAAGUAUAGAGGAGGAAAUUUGUAUUGAAGAAAAUGAACAAGUUAACAAAUGAAGUAUUGAACAAAUUAAUAUUGCACAUCUUUCUACGAAUCAUGGGCUAAGAACUCAAAUAAUGGAUUACAAUGUUAAUCUUAAAAAUCAAAUUAGAAGAGUCUACUUGCAAAGAGAUUCGUGUCAGCCUCGAAAUCAUUCAUUUUCACAUAAAAAAUCAAAACGAUUCAUUACAGCUUGGUUCAAUAAAUUUGAUGAUUGGUUGGAAUAUAGUAUAAGAAAAGAAGUCUCAUUUUGCUUAUACUGUUAUCUUUUUAAAACAAAUAAUAGGGAACAAAGAGAUGAUGAUUCUUUUGUGAUAGAAGAGUUCAGUAAUUUUAAAAAAUAAAAUAAACUUCAAAUUCAUGUUAGAGAUGUCAAUAAUGCACACAAUCAAGCUUAAAACAACUGUGAAGUCUUAAUAAAUUAAGAGUAAAAUAUCGAGAUAAUUUUCUUUAUACAGUUAGAACAAACACAGUGUGAUUAUCGAAUUUAUUUGAAUGCAUCAAUUGAUGGUGUUCAACUUCUUUUACAGUAAAGACUAGCCUUUCGUGGUCAUGACGACUCUAAAUAUUCAAAUAAUUAAGAUAACUUUCUUGAACUAUUGCAAUUUCUAGCCAAUCAUAAUAAGGAGAUGUUACUUUGAAAAAUAUUCUAGAAAAUCUCAAGUUAACAUCACCUGAUGUUUAGAAGGAUAUUGUAAAAGUUGUUGCUAUCGAAACAAUUGAUCUUAUCAUAAAAGAUGUUGGUGAUGCAUUGUUUUCAAUUCUAAUUGAUGAAUCUUGAGAUAUCUCAAUAAAUGAACAGAUGUCUACUGUUUUGCAUUAUGUGAAUAAAACAGGAUAUGUAGUUGAACGAUUUAUUGGGAUUGAACAUGUUUGCAGUAUUACUGCCUCUAUCACUUAAAGCUGUUAUAGAUAAAUUAUUUUUUAGAUAUGGGUUGAGUAUAUCUAGAUUGUGGAGGCAAGAUCAGUUUAAUGGUCUCAAAUCACUUAUUUUGAAAGAGAACCCAUGUGCUUUCUAUGUUCAUUGGUUUGCUAAUCAACUUUAAUUGGCACUUGUAGUUAUAGCAAAGAAACAUGUGCAAGUUACUUCACUCUUUAAUUUGGUUUCUAGAGUGGUGAAUAUUGUUGGAGUGUCAUCAAAAUGUUGUGAUCUUUUGCGAGAGAAACAAGAAUCCAUAAUUUUUAAAGCAUUCCAUAAUGGUGAGAUUUCAAGUGGUCGGGGUCUUAAUUAACAAAGUACUAUUACACAUUUUGGUAAUACUCAUUGGGGAUCGCAUUAUGGUACUUUGAUUAGUUUGAUUUCCAUGUUCUCGCCUAUAGUUGAUGUUUUUGAAAUGAUUGUUGAUGAUGGAUCUACUGAACAAAAAUGUGAGAUAAAUGAUUUAUCGGAUUCAAUACAGUCAUUUGAAUUUGCAUUUAAUCUAUAUCUCAUGAGAACCAUCUUAGCAAUUUCAAAUAAAUUGUCCAAGACAUUACAAAGGAAGGAUCAAGAUAUUGUAAAUGCCAUUACUUUAGUAAAAAUAUGCAAACAAAGAUUCCAAGUGAUGAGGGACAAUGAGUGGCAUUUGUUUUUGAAAGUAGUUGUUUCUUUUUUGUGAAAAACAGAAUAUUGAUGAUCUUGACAUGGAUGGUGUUUUUAUAUGCCGAGGUCUCUCAUGGCGUAACACUGAAGAAAUGAUAAAUUUGUAUCACUUUCGUGUGGACUUGUUCUAUGCUAUCAUUGAUAUGCAACUUCAAGAAUUGAAUGAUUGUUUUUCUGAUGUUAGUACUGAGUUACUUCUUUGUAUAACAUGCUUAUGCCCAAAUAAUUCAUUUCCUACUUUGGACAAAGAAAAAUUAAUUCGUCCUGCUGAGUAUUAUCUUGAAGAUUUUUCAAGAGUAGAGUUCAUGGCACUUGAUAAUCAGGUUCAAACUUAUAUUUUUGAUAUGCGCUCUAACAAAAAGUUUGAAGAAUUGCAAGGACUCAGUGAACUUAGACAGAAGUUGGUUAUGAUGGAAAAAAAAUAUAGUGUACUCAUUAGUUUAUAAGCUUGUAAUUUUGGUAUUAACUCUUCCGGUUGCUACUACUACAGUUAAAAGAGAUUGCUACGACUACAGUUGAAAUAAUAUUUUCUACAAUAGACAUUGUGAAGAAUCGAUUGCGUAGUAAAAUUAGAGAUCAAUAGAUGAAUGAUAACUUAGUUGUGUACUUUAAAAAAUAUGUAUUUAAUAAAAUUAAUAAUGAGAUCAUUAUGUGGCGUUAUCAAAAUAUGAAAAGUAACAACAAUUAUAAAAAAAUAUAUAUAUUUUAAUAUUAUAAUUAUUAUCUUAUUUUAAAAAUUAUACUUUUUAUAUUUAAAUUCGCCUUCACUCAAUAAAAAUAAAAAUCCUGGGCCCGCCCUGAACCUAACGUCUCCGUUAGGCCCAUAAAUGAAUAUUGGUUUCCGAAAUUCUCCGAGCCGGAGGCCCCGAAGCUCUCUACUUUAAAAGGCUGUCAUUUCGUUUUUAAGCGACGCUUUGGCUCAAACGUCACCACGUACCUUCAGAGAGUUUGCGUGAAUCGUUCCUUGAGGCGGCGAUGGAGAACAUCAAACUUUUUCCGUUCACGAUCCGUCGCCGUCGGACUCCGACUAUGAAAAAUCUUCACCGCCGUUGUCCGUGAAAACCAAGUUCUAUCGUCUCUUCGGCAGAGAGAGGCCUCUGCACAGAGUCUUAGGCGGCGGAAAAGGUAUGCAAACUGAAUUCUCUCUCCCUCUCUCUCUACACACACACACACACGCACGCACGCAUGCAUGCAUAUAUGCAUGUGUGUGUGUCUAGUCGUGACAUUUGGAAACCGGCACUUAUCCUUUAAAGUCGAUGACGAUCACUGAUACAGGAGACGUUGCGUAUUUUAUAUUCACGAACGGCAUUAGUGUUUUGCUGAUUGGUGAUGAGCAUUCUUCGACCAAAUUGUCGCAUUUUUAUAUAUAGUCCCGGCAAUAACUUCUGGUCUGAGAACAGAUCUCAAUCGCACUCUUUCAGUUUCAGCCCUCCUGGGUAUUGGGUCUGGGAAGGGUAUGAAGAAAUUUCUUGCUGUAUGUUCUCAUCAUUCCUCCUCCUUUGUUUCUUCGAAGAGCUUGACUUGUUUGCAAGACAGCAUAAACGCAUGCCCAACCCCAAAAAGAAACCAGGAGAUGACCGACGUGAAUGGUUCACCAUUCACUUUGAACUUGGAAUGAUGGUGGAUUAAUUUUACCAUUGUUGCUUAAGGCUGGAAUUUUAGGGGUUCUACAUCUACAUGGCCUCGUGCUGUCAUGGAUCAUCUACUUCAGUAUUUACAAAUUUGUUUCAUUCCCAUCGUAAGAAGAAACCUUUUUUUCUCAGGUAAUUGCCGGAUUGUGGGUUAUUUCAGUUGUGGGCAGUUGCUUUGACUUCCUGACUCUGCUACGUACGCAAGGAAUCAAUUCAACUGCAAACAAUCCUCUUGCUGCAUACCGUGCCUGUCCAUUAUGAGAAAUACGAGGACACUGUAGACCCCUUUGCUGAGAAACCAUUGGUAGACUUCAAGAAGAAGUUUGCUGAAUUCGAUGCCAAGGUUCUGAGUCAGAUUCACAGAGGACCAUCUAAAGACAAGAAGCUCGUUCGGGCUUCUUUAUGGCGAGUGCCACUCCUGAUGGGAACAACUCCGUUUGUGGGGUGACAAAAAUGAUAGGGGUACUGCUUUUCGCUUGUUCUAAUACUGGGAACUGAUCAUGCUUUAGAGUUUGGAGAUGAGGAAACUAAUGGAUCCCUGGACAGUUUUUGGUUGAUCUUGCCUAAUAUGUAUGAUGAUCCUUUUGGUUUGCAUUAGAUUAGGUUGGAUUGGGAAUCCAGAGAUCAAUUAUCAGAAAUCAGUUGAAAGACUAAUUUAUGGCUUAAUUUAUUCUGGUAAUUCCCUGUUUUGGUUGGGCAAGAAUUUAUGGUCCAUCCAAUUUUGGAAUUAGUUUGUGUUGUAAUCACAGGGUGUAACAUGCAAAAUAAGAAACUUAAAGGCGAUUGGAU